rnacentral:sRNA from 1 species
CGAUCGCCAAAUUUUGUUCAAGCUGUGCAAAUUUGUGUGGAGUUCUAACUUUUUUGAAAUUGGAAUGCACUGAGUGUUUAAAUAAACAAUUAUAAACUCUUUAAAAUAAAGUGCGAAAGUUACUGUGACUUUGAAUAGUAGUUUAUUUUUUACUGAUAUAAAAUUGACAGCGAAAUCGAAUCGAGCCACCAAUUGGCCCCACUGUGCGUGGCGUCGCUGCUGACGUUUAAUUGCGCUCAGCAGCAACAACAACACUGAGGCGAAAUGUAUUUUAUUUUACUUUUUCUUUCUGCAGGCGCCCCUCUGUACGUGUGAGUGUAUGUGAGCUCCCCAUAUCCGCAACUCAUCCGUAUUCACACAUACACACUUAGUGGCCUCUCUCCAAAAACAAUAACAAAGUAACCGUUUGACGAGUGGGACGGAAUACUGCAGCCCUCUCUGUUGCACCUGCUGCACUCGCUCAGCUGUUUUGGCUUUGUUCUUGUUGUUACGGAGAAAAUCGCACAGAGAGCAGUUCAUUUUUUGAAAGGGGAUUUGAAGAAUAGUAAGUUUUAGAAUCACAUGAGACUAGACAUUGUAGAGAUUUUGGAAACAUUUUUAUAAACUUUCUACAAAAAAAUUCGGCAUGUAUAAGACAUUAACGUAACUAGUUUUAAUUUUACUAAAUAAAUGAAAUUGCAAUACCCUGAAUUGGAAGUACAAAACUAUAAAAAUAUUUUUAAAAAAUAUAAGUCAAAUAAAGAUGCACUAGAAAUGGUUAGAAAUUAGAAAUAGCAAAUAACAAAAGUUCCUGUUCUUAGCCUGCGUGAAUUAUUCUAUUAAUCUUCGCGUAUUUUUUUUGCAACUAGUUGAUCCACAAAUUGCACUAUUAGUGAGUGUGUGCGUAUUCUAUAUAGAUUAUGUAUAUGUACAUACAUAUGGAAAUACACGAAACUGUUUUUUUUUAUUGCAUAACCGCAUUUAACAGUUUUGCUCGAACGGUUGCCGAUUCGGUCACACACACAUGCAGAGCGAAAUGAACGGCAAAACAACAAGCCACCCACCGCCACCCCCUGCAAUUCAACACCCUCCGCCCAACGGUUUAGGUUUGGAGGUUCACUUCAGUUCACUCUUCUCUCAUUUUUUGGCUGUGAGAGCGACACAAGCGACCCAACAAACUGAAACUGGCUAUCUAUCUCACACACUCAGUCCGCCAACUACCAUCCGCACUCGGUACAGUGAACCAACGGCUGACCCACUAAGUGUAUACAACCUAUAGUAACUUUUGAGCUGUUGCCAACAAUAAACUGUGUUCCAAAAAUAUUACAUUAUUUAAUUUUCAGAAAUUUUAAAAUUAAUUAAAUUUAAUAUCUUUUAUAUGAUAAUGAGUAUCAUUGAAGCAGAAGUACUGAGUUUAAAAUUGAAAUAUGUUUUGACUGGUUCACCAUUUUGGGGGUGACCUGUAUUUACGUAUGAUUUUGGGGUGGCUGGCUAUACCGUUAUGCACUAUAUCUAGCUCUCCUCUCUCUCUUUCCUUGUCACUGUCGUCUGUGAGUAUGGUUGCAUGUUGCUUGGUGGCAGUUUUCAGGGUCAGGGAAAUUCGAUUUUUGUGUCCGACUGUCUCCGCCUCUUCUUCCCUGUGGUUUUCCUUCAGCGGGCGGCCCAUGAGCAACAACAAGAUGGUCAAGGCCAAACUAAAAGAAGGAAAGCCCUAUUGGAAACCCCAAAUACCCUUUCCCCUAUGAAAAUAUGUACAUUGUUUUGCUCAGUGUGUAUUACUAAUAAUAAUGAUGCAGAAAUCUAUAAAUAUAGUUUUAAUUAAUUUUAACGAAACUAAAAAAAUGUUUAUGAUGCUUUCGAACACGAUUUUUUGAAAAGUUAUUAAUAGUUAAAGUAAACAUUAAAGUUACCAAGAAAAAAGAUAGUCGAGUGCCGGGGAACCGACGUACAUACAUACAUACAAGGAAGUUCUUUAGAGAUUUCAUUACUCUGUUCAAUGCCCCCUAAUUAACUUGAAUCAAAUUUCCUCCGCAUUUGAAACUAAACUAAACAUGCGCAUGUUCAAUCCCAAGUCUCCUAUAGUUUCAGAGAUCAGGACGUUCAUACGGACAGGCGGAUUUUGAUCAACAUCUUUUACCUGCUACAUACUUUAAAACGAAUCUACGAGACCAUUUAUUUAUAAAAAUAUAAAAGAAUUAAUAUCGAUUGGCUGCGAUAACAAAUUAAAAAUGCUCUCCCCAUUCGCACUGUGCUACCUCUUAGUUUGCUUUGUGCUAGUUUUAGUCUAGUGCUAAUGUUAAUGAACUUUCAAAAAGGGGCGUUCCACAACCGCGCCCAAUUCCGCGAGUACAUUAUCAUAAGACGGAAUAAUUAUUCUAUUUGCGGCCAAGAGCCAAACAAUGAUAAGACGUAUCGCACAAACCGCGGAAACUGGAGAGGAAAAUGGGGGCGGGUGAAGGGUACAUAAUGAUAAGCGACAGCCGCACCCUAAAGUAUUUU